CGUGUAGGCGGUUUGGCAAGUCAGAGGUGAAAUCCCCCGGCUCAACCGGGGACCUGCCUUUGAAACUACCGAACUUGAGGCCGUGAGAGGAAACUGGAAUUCCUAGUGUAGCGGUGAAAUGCAUAGAUAUUAGGAAGAACACCAGUGGCGAAGGCGAGUUUCUGGCACGGUUCUGACGCUGAUGCGCGAAAGCUAGGGGAGCGAACG
rnacentral:rRNA from 1 species